AGCGGCGGACGGGUGAGUAACGCGUGGGAACAUACCCUUUGGUACGGAAUAGCCUCGGGAAACUGGGAGUAAUACCGGAUAAGCCCUUACGGGGAAAGUUUUAAUGCCAAAAGAUGAGCCCGCACUUGAUUAGCUAGUUGGUAAGGUAAUGGCUUACCAAGGCGACGAUCUUUAACUGGUCUGAGAGGAUGAUUAGCCACACUGGAACUGAGACACGGUCCAGACUCC
rnacentral:rRNA from 1 species